GACUUCAACUGAAAAAGUCAUCAACAACAAAGUUGUAUAACUCAUCAAUAUAUAAAACUUUUAUUUGGGUCAUUUCUUCAUCCGAGAAAGUGAUAAACAUAUCUCUUAUAUAGUUUAUAAACUAUAAGAGAGAUGUAAUUUUUUGAACAAUUUUACUAUCACUUUAUCGGAUGAAGAAAUGACCAAAAUAAAAGUUAUAGAUAUUGAUGAGUUAUACAACUUUNUUGUUGAUGACUUUUUCAGUUGAAAUC
rnacentral:pre_miRNA from 1 species